UCCUCUCUGCCUCCGCCACAGUUCGUCUCCUCCUUCUUCUGUGUUUUCCUCCUCCGCCGCCCCGACCUCGCUAGCCAACCUAGAAGCUUGCUCUGUACCCUUUGACGGGCUUACAGUCUUAUUAUCAAACUCCCAUUUGCAUCCUACGCUGAUCCCCAUUUAGAACUUCCCACAUUCAUCCCGAAGGAAACCUCUUCCAACCAUUCCACAACCUGUAGGCAUAACCCAUUUUAACUUUAUCUGUUGAUCAUCGAAGUUUCUGUUGUAGGUACAGAACUCGCUAGGAGUGCUUCGCAUUUGGUGGGGUUUCUAGUUUCUUCUACCUCUUCUAGACCUUCUUGAGAAGUUGGUCACCAUUUUCAUUUCACCCCACAAAAAUCUGCCCUCUUCUCUCCGGGUUUUCUCUAUUUCUGGGUGCGAUAACUGAUUUUUCGAUCUCAGCUAAAUUCUACCCCUUCAGUUCAAUCCUUUACUUUUAACACUUUUAAUUCUUUCCUCCACGAAUCUCUAAAUAUGAGUUCACACCAUCCUCCGAAACUUCUGUAUUCAAGAAGUUAAAUUGGAUUGAUUAUUUAUCUAAAUUUCAGAUUAUUAGAGCUGAAGUUAUUUUGUUUUAGUCUGAUGCAAUGGCAUAUAAUCACGAGAAGAGUAUGGGAUAGAGUUUAAGCUUAACUUUGUUUUCUAUCUAUUUUAGAAAAUUUUGUUGUAAUUUCAUUUCUUUGAGCUACUUUAUUGGGAAAAUAUGUGGUGGCUAUUUGAUUAUGGUAAUCUAUUUAACUAUAGUAGUUUCUUUCUUAGUUCUGUUUGGUGUUUCUUCUCGUUCUCUGUUUUCACUUUAUACUAGGGUGGGAGAAUCAAGUGAUGACGUAACAAUACAGCAAUAAAAUGAUGGAUCUUAUUCCAUGACUCUGAUGGUUUUCCCGCUGUCUAGUUUUGAUACGAAUUUUGGGUCUAAGAGAUAUUUUCAACAUCCGUCUAUUAAUCAUGGCUUUGAUUCCAUGAUUGCUAGUAUUUACGUCUCUAAUGAUGAGUGGCUUUUCUCAUCAAGUUUUGAUACGAAUUUAAUGUUUGAGAGGUAUUUUCAACAUUGUCUGUGAAUCGUUUAGUUUCUGGAGAAUGAUGAAACUGAAGGGGAUUUGAUGAGAAUUUAUUUGGUCCGUGUUUCUGAUUAAUCAUGAUCGAUUCCUCAUCUUAGCAUACUCUGAUCUCUACCUUACUCUUCUUGAAGCUGAAUUACUACUACUACUACUACUACUAUUAUUAUUAUUAUUUUGCCUGAUGAAACUUGCCAAGGAUGAAUUAGACAAAUUAUUUUGUGCAAUUGGCAUAUUUUCCUCAUAGGAAUAUUUUAUUAUUUAAUUCUCUCCUUUAUCUGGGAACCGUAUGAUGAAUCUGAAUUUUCAUUCUCACAACGAUCAUCUGAGAUUCCAUUUGAUGGAAUUAUCCAUUAAUUCUGAUGGAACAUAUGUUGUACUGAUGAAUUGACAUGGUAUUAUUAGUAUGAUUAUGUUUUGGCAGGGUAGAGUCUAAGCUUAAUCUUCAUUUUAAUUUGUUAAGAAAACUGCGUUGAUGUUGCAUGUUUUGAUUUGAAAACUUGUGCUUAACUCUUCUAUUAAGAAGUUAUGUUGUGGUUAUUUGAUUGUGAUAUUGUAUUCAAUCAUGGCUUUUUUUUAUUUUGUUUGGUGGUGGUUUUGUUUCUUCCUUUUCAUUAUGAUGCAGCGGGAGAAUCAAGUGAUGAUGAACAAAACUGCAACAAAAUGAUGGAUUUUAUUCCAUGAUUAUUGAUUUUUGCAUGAUGAAAACAUGUCAAGGAUUAAUUCGACCAAUUGUUUUGGGCAAUUGGUAUGUUUUGUUAGUAGAAAAGCUUUAUUAUUAAUUCUCUGCCCUGGCACUGGCGGGAAACUGUCAUGAAUCUGAAUUUACGUUAUUUCUCAAAGGUUGCCUGAGAUUCACUUUGAAUGUCAUACUGAUGUAAUGACAUGAUAUCAUGGAAUCUAAGCUUAAGCUUCAGUUCUAUUAUUGAAUGUAUUGAAAUAUGGUAUUGUUUUUAAAAAGUUUUUACGUGGUAGUUUUGUUUUUGCUUU